AUUGAACGCUGGCGGCAGGCCUAACACAUGCAAGUCGAACGGUAACAGGAAACAGCUUGCUGUUUCGCUGCCGAGUGGCGGACGGGUGAGUAAUGUCUGGGAAACUGCCUGAUGGAGGGGGAUAACUACUGGAAACGGUAGCUAAUACCGCAUAACGUCGCAAGACCAAAGAGGGGGACCCUCGGGCCUCUUGCCAUCGGAUGUGCCCAGAUGGGAUUAGCUUGUUGGUGGGGUAACGGCUCACCAAGGCGACGAUCCCUAGCUGGUCUGAGAGGAUGACCAGCCACACUGGAACUGAGACACGGUCCAGACUCCUACGGGAGGCAGCAGUGGGGAAUAUUGCACAAUGGGCGCAAGCCUGAUGCAGCCAUGCCGCGUGUAUGAAGAAGGCCUUCGGGUUGUAAAGUACUUUCAGCGGGGAGGAGGGGAGUAAAGUUAAUACCUUUGCUCAUUGACGUUACCCGCAGAAGAAGCACCGGCUAACUCCGUG
rnacentral:rRNA from 1 species